rnacentral:lncRNA from 1 species
GCACAUGGAGUUCCCAGGCUAGGGGUCGAAUUGGAGCUGCAGCUGCCAACCUAUGCCACACCCAUAGCAACACAGGAUCCGAGCCGCAUCUGCAAUCUACACCACAGCUCACUGCAAUGUCGGAUUCCUGACCCACUGAGUGAGGCCAGAGAUCAAACCUACAUCCUCAUAGAUAUUAGUCGGAUUUGAUUCCACUGUGCCACAACAGGAACUCCUAUCAUUUUCAAAUUAUUUCAAACAGAGGUGUCAUUACAUUUCCCCCUCCCUUUAUUUUGAAGUUAGGAUUUCAGGAAAAUUAGAAAAUUAUGUGCUAAAACUUCUCUUACUACAAACACUGAGGAAAGAGAAAACUCACAUGCAUGUUGUCAAGCUAAAUUACGGCUGAACUGGAGGACCAUAACCAUAUGCAUCCAUAUGCAUUGACUGUUGUGGCAGAUAUAAUUAGUAAAAUUAGUCAAACUCACCAGCCAAUCUGUGUCAAAUCAAACCAGCAAAACCUGUGUUUGUUGGCAGAGCACUAGAGUUGAAUAGGCUGAGAUUAUUUCACUGCAAGAUAAUUCUGGUUUGCUAACUCUGGCUUACCCAUAACAAUGACUAACCUUCAAAUAAAAUUAUAAAGGCAUUCUGGCCUUCAGAAAGAAAGGAACAAACAAGUUUCCUAAAGUACUCAACAAUACUCUUAUUGCAUCCUAAAAGGACUUACUUCAAUUAAUCUGGAAAACCCUCUAAUUUCUGGGGAAAAGUCCCCAGGGAAACCCUUACAUACAAGAAGAAAAGUCCUUCCACUGACUCUUAAAUUGCAUUAGGCAACCCUAAUUUCAUUAGAUAUGGUAUAUUGGGACAAUUCAACUAUGAAAUAUAUUAUUUUCAAAGAAAAAUCACAGACAAAACCUUAGCCAGGAUAUAGUGUCCACCUAUAAAAUCGAGGCAAAUUAAUUCCAUCAAUAAUCCCACCUAUAGUCAUCAACAGUUUUAAUAAGAAUAUUUUGGGGAGUUCCUGUCGUGGCACAGUGGAAAUGAAUCCGACUAGGAACCAUGAGGUUGCAGGUUCAAUCCCUGGCCUUGCUCAGUGGGUUAAGGAUCCCGCGUUGCUGUGGCUGUGGUGUAGGCCGGUGGCUACAGCUCCGAUUAGACCCCUAGCCUGGGAGCCUCCCUAUCCUAUGCGGUGCCGCCCUAAAAAAAAAAAAAGGAACGAUAACUUUUUUGGUACAAGGAUAUUUAUUUAUGUUUUUUAUACACACUCUAAAGUGUUUGGAAUUUGGAGGACACCAAUCUGAAUAGUUUCUCUUUUUAGAUAUAGGAUUCCUGUUAUAGUUAACAGAGGUAUUUUGAUUCUCUCCUUUAAAGUUUUAUGAAAUGUCAUUGACUUCUUGUGCAAGAUGACUAAUUUGCCUAAAAUGGAACGAGAAAAAAAAAAUCUUAAGACUCAGAAAUCAAGAAAUCAUGAAGGCACCUUCCUCCUAGUUUUCCUGAGUAGGUGCCAUUCAGUAACUUCAGCACAGGUGGUCAUGAUAGAAUGCCUGUCCCAACUGUCAGCUUGACUAAGCACAUUUCUAAAGCUUUCCUAAAGCUUUCCAUAUUGGCAUUUAAUCUUUUAUUUAGUCACGGAAACAUGAAGUCACCAUUUUUAAAACUGCCAAGAGAAACUGGGGGAGGAAAGUGUUAUCUUUCUUCAGCUCCCAGCAAAGCACUCCAAGAUAAUAGGAAGACAAGAAUAUUUCUUCCAUUAACCCCUUGACCCUCCAACUUAAUGGCUUUUUGUUGAAAAUAUAUCAACAAACAGGGCCUCAUGUGCGAUUCUAACCCAGGGAGUAAGGUCUCUACAAUUACAUGGGAUUGUGUCUGGAUGCUCCAUUCUGACACCUAAUACACUUAAUGGAAGGGCCAGGCUGCCCCAGAAGCUGACCAGGAAGCAAAAUCACCAUCUUCUCAGAGCAAUUUCUAGAGAAACCCACAAAGACACGUAAAUUAUUGUUUUAAACUUAAACACACCAGAAGGGCUGCCAGGUCUGUUUUUUGCCUGGUCUGUUUUUGCCUUACGCUAUUGCAUAAUGAAGGCAACAUUUUCAUCAUCAAUGCAGAACUCAAAAUCUAUGCUACGAUGAAAUUGAGUGCAAAAAAAAAAAAAUUGGAAAGAAAAUUUUAAGCCAUUUCCUAAAGCAAAUAUUACAAUUUGCAUAAACUGUCCAAUUAGUAUGCUUUAGAUACUGUUUAAAAAGAUGACAGUGACAAUCAAAAUUAUGAUCACUUCCUAUUAUUUUAAUAUUAAGAUUGUGCUGGGAUUUCCCAAAUUAAAAUGUUAAUAAGUAAGGGCUUCAUCAAGUUGAUUUGGGAUGCAAGGAAAAAAAUGACUUAAUUUCUUCAAAAUCAAAAUCUCAUCAGAAGUGUACUUAGACAAAUGAGAAAUCUUUAAAGGAUAAAAUAACAUUAAAUUAUUAUAUUUUCAUAACUUUUUCCUAAUUGUAAAAGUGCACCUUCUCUAACAAUUUCCUUUUGAUAAUUUUCUAAAAGAGGAAAUAUUAUGUUAGAGAACACGCUUUUUUUUUUUUUUUUUUUUUUUUUUUUUUUGGCUGUGCCUGUGACAUAGAAGAUCCCCUGGCCAGGGGUCAAACUCCAGCCACAGCAGUGACAGUACUGAAUCCUUAACUGCUAGGCCACCAGGGAACUCCCAAGAACAUGUUGAAAGGUCUCAAUUUAUACUGUUAAAUUAACCCCUUCUACUCUAGAAAAUCUGUUCAAAUGUAUAUGUUGUUACAUCUUUCAGUAACAAAAAAAAAAUCUGUAAAUGAUAAUUUUAGAUUUAAUUCAAAUCACUAUUAAAAACCAAUUUGGAGUAAAAACUUAGACUUAUAAAUGUCCUAUUAUUUCUAAGUUAUUAAAACAUAAAACUACAGAAAUAUCUUUACUCAUUUAUGUGGCAGUAACCAUGCAUCAGAUUAAAAUAAAUAAUGCUUUAAGAAUGAUAGGAUUUAUAAGAGAUUAAAGUAAAUUUACUUCCCAAAUUAUAAACUGUACUUGGAUUAGCAUGAUCAAUUAAUAUUUACUAUAAAUACAUAAUGUAGUACAUGCCAAUGAAAUUUGACUAGUAGCUAGUAUAAACUAACAUGACUAUUGAGGUUUGACCUAUAAAAUGUAAUAAUAAGACAAAAACAUAACACAGCUGUGUGACUGCCAAUCAUCCAUGUAAAACAAAUAAUGAAUAUCCCAUUUCUAGAAGAAACUUCAGACAUAGAUUAAAAAACAAUGACCUUCUGAAAUCAGAAUAGUGUUGCAGAAUUAUUAAAUCCAAGUUGAUGAACUGUAGAAAAACUGAAAGCUAAAGAACAUGCGGGAAAAUAUUAAACUUUUGUUCAGUGUACUUAUAGAAAAGUUUGCCCUAAAUCUAUACCUGUCACUGUUUCCAAUUACGUUUUAUGCUAAAUUCAUUUAAAGAAAAUGAAAUAACAUUUACAAGUGGGUUUUGCCAGCUGUUAUGCUAGUUAUUAUAAUUAUGAACAGAAAUAGCAAUAAAUGCUAUAGAACAUAUCUGAAAAUAAUUACUUUUCCAAUAGAGCCCCCUAGUCUGACAUUAUUAAUUACACAUCAAUCUAUAUAUAGUAAGUUAAUAAAAAGUCAGCUUUAAUCUUAAAUUGUACUGACCUUUACAUACAAGGAGGUCCUAUUAACUCAGUAGGAUAUGAACUUUAGGUUGUUUUUCCAAUUCUAAUGAUAAAUGCACUGAGUCAACCUUACAUUGUAUGCAGCCCUUUCAAGAUUAUACACACAUUCAUUCAUUCAUCAGUAAAUGCCUAUUGAGUGCUCUUAUGCUACUGGCACUAAAUACUGAGGCUACAAGCUAAACAAAAGCGGUCAUGACCUAGGUCCUCAUGGAAUUUGUAAUGCAGAGGUAAAAAAAGAUAUUAAUCAAAUAUCUUUCAUGAUGUUUAUCACACACAUGGGUAAAAAUCUACAGUUAUAGUAAGUGCUGUGUAGGAACAAUGGCCAGGGCUACAAGGGGAUGGAAUCCAGGGUUUGGAGAGGGCUUUUUGAGGAAGUGGCAUUUAACUAGGAAUAUAAGCACAAGUAAGCACUAAUUAAAUGAGAAAGAAGGGAGAGGGUCAUCAGCAGAGGGGAUGGCUGGCACAAAGAAGAGCAGGAACACAGAGUGGGAGGGGCAGGAUGCUAAGCUACCUGGUGAGACAGGUGACCAAAUAUGCAAACUUCAUAGCAGCAUGGGUUGAGGAUUUGGGUCAUCAUCCCAAGACAAGUGGUGGCCAUUGAAGAAUUUUAGGGAGAGAACUCUCUUGUUCAGAUCCAGGUUUUGGAAACAGUAUUCUGCCUAUACACUGGACAAUGUUCUAAAGUAAAUGCCUGGAGACCAUUGGAAGGGCAUUGCAAUAGUGUAGGUACACUGACGAUACUUUGGGCUGGAAAGGUAACAGAACAGUGGAUAUAGAGAGAAACAGAUGCAAGAGGAAGAAAUUUAGGAGGUAAAAUGGGCAGGUUGUGGGGAGAGAUUGGCCUUGUUAGCAAGGAAGAGUGAGGGAUCAAGAUUUAGGCUUGACCUCCUCGGUAAUACCAUGUGUUGUGAUAAAGAACACAGGAAGAAGAGGAGUCUAAUAGAAGAAACUUGUGAGUUUGUUAUAGACAUCUUGGACCCAAGAUAUCAAAGAGAAGAUGUCAGGAAAAGUGUGGCCGAUAUAGAACAUGAGAUAUAAACUUGUAAGGCAUCAGCCUGGGGUUUAUUAAGGAAAGACAACAACAGGAUGACCCUUCAGAAAUUAAAGCUGGAUUUAAAGUAAAUAAAACUUUAUAAAUGCAAUAAAGCUUUUACACAGAAACUGUAUAUUAAGUUAGGUAUAUAUACCAGGGCUCCCGGUAAUAAAGCAGAGCUAUAAAUGUUAGAAUAUGAAGAGCACAUUUUUGCACUUCUGAAUCAGCAUUCCCAGUGUGCAGUAGGAUGGAAAUGCCUUUUGCCAUCAAAAAAGGAAAAGUAGUGCACAGUGAAGAAAAGACAAAUGCUAUGCUCAUAUAAACUAAGAGUAAAUUCAGCUUGCCCUGCAGUAAGGACGUAAUUCAAUAAUAUCCACAGAUAUUAGAUUUUCUGUUAUAGAGUACCCUUGAAUAGGUAAACUUUAUCUCACUUUUUAGUUCACGUAAUUUAUAUUGACAGUGAAUGAAGAUAAAACUUUAUUCACAUAAAAAAUUACUCUGACAAUCUUAAAAUAAUCUGGUUUUUCAGAUGAAACAGCUCUUAUUUUUCCCUCCAUUUGUUACUUAUGGUUUUCCCAGCCUGGUUGCACUAAAACGAUUUUUGGUCAUCAUCUUCACUGAGUGUCCUAUAGAGAAAAAGCCUAAGCAAGUAAACAGGAGGAUAGCAUUCGUGUUACCACGCUGGAUCAAUCUCCAGUUACAGAUUCCAAUCGCAGAGGAGGCAGAAAACCUUUCAGAGCCACUUAUAUCAAAUAUUAUCCCCUAACUGAAAAUGUGAUAAGUCAGCAGACAAUUCUUCCUCAGACUUGACAAAAACUGUGGUGAUUAUUACUCAUUCUUAUCAACCACCUGAGGCUCAUAAAAAGCUGAAUAUAUAUAGGCUCAUAAAAUUUCAUAGAAUAUGGAACUGUUCAUGUCAAGGUCAGUGUAAACCUCUCUGUGGCCAAAUACAAUGGACCCCC